AUGAUUAAUCAGGGACAGGAAGAGGUUGAAGAUAACUUAGGAAAAAUUGAAUUUAGAGAGGAAGCUCAGGUGGUUCGCCCUAAAAUAUCCCAACAAACUACAUUUAAAAAACAGGACAGUCAAAAAUCUACAUUAAACGUCUUUAAAACACUUAGCAAUCAAACAAAACAAGUGAAAAGAGCUGAUCCCUCAGGAGGAUUUUCCAGGGCUGAGCACAGGGAGGAGAAGGCAAGAUUGAUUUAUGGCAGUGAUAAAGAGGAGAGCGAGAAUAAGACAGAUACCUUCAAAAUUCCAGCUACAUUUAUUGGAGAAUUGGAGGUUCAGGAGCCUGUUGAAGCUCAGACAGAAUUAUACCAGUAUAAUAAUACUGGUAUUAGCUUUAGGGUUAGCAUUAGGGUUAGGGUUAGCAUUAGGGUUAGGGUUAGCAUUAGGGUUAGGGUUGGAGUUAGAGUUAGGGUUAGGGUUAGGGUUAGCAUUAGGGUUAGGGUUAGCAUUAGGGUUAGGGUUAGCAUUAGGGUUAGGGUUGGAGUUAGAGUUAGGGUUAGGGUUAGGGUUAGCAUUAGGGUUAGGGUUGGAUUUAGGGUUAGGAUUAGGGUUAGGGUUGGAGUUAGGGUUAGGGUUGGAGUUAGGUUUAGCAUUAGGGUUAGCAUUAGCAUUAGGGUUAGCAUUAGCAUUAGGGUUAGGGUUAGCAUUAGCAUUAGGGUUAGGGUUGGAGUUAGGGUUAGGGUUGGAGUUGGAGUUAGGGUUAGCAUUAGGGUUAGGGUUAGGGUUAGGGUUAGGGUUAGGGUUAGGGUUAGGGUUAGAGUUAGGGUUGGGUUAGGGUUAGGGUUAGAGUUAUGGUUAGGGUUAGCAUUAGGGUUAGCAUUAGCAUUAGGGUUAGGGUUAGCAUUAGCAUUAGGGUUAGGGUUGGAGUCAGGGUUAGGGUUAGCAUUAGGGUUAGGGUUAGAGUUAGGGUUAGCAUUAGGGUUAGGGUUAGAGUUAGGGUUAGCAUUAGGGUUAGGGUUAGGGUUAGAGUCAGGGUUAGGGUUAGCAUUAGGGUUAGAGUUAGGGUUAGCAUUAGGGUUAGGGUUAGAGUUAGGGUUAGCAUUAGGGUUAGGGUUAGAGUUAGGGUUAGCAUUAGGGUUAGGGUUAGGGUUCGAGUCAGGGUUAGGGUUAGCAUUACGGUUAGAGUUAGGGUUAGCAUUAGGGUUAGGGUUAGAGUUAGGGUUAGCAUUAGGGUUAGGGUUAGGGUUAGGGUUAGCAUUAGGGUUAGGUGAAUGA
rnacentral:lncRNA from 1 species